AGCAGCCGCGGUAAUUCCAGCUCCAAUAGCGUAUAUUAAAGUUGCUGCAGUUAAAAAGCUCGUAGUUGAAUUUCGGGACCAUCAUGUCGGUCGUGCCUCGGUACGUACUGGUAUUGUUGGUUUCUCCCUUCUGACGAACCAUGAUGUCAUUUAUUUGGUGUUGUGGGGAAUCAGGACUGUUACUUUGAAAAAAUUAGAGUGUUUAAAGCGGGCUCACGCUUGAAUACAUUAGCAUGGAAUAAUGAAAUAGGACGUUUGAUUCUAUUUUGUUGGUUUCUAGGAUCGACGUAAUGAUUAAUAGGGAUAGUUGGGGGCAUUAGUAUUCAAUUGUCAGAGGUGAAAUUCUUGGAUUUAUUGAAGACUAACUACUGCGAAAGCAUUUGCCAAGAAUGUUUUCAUUAAUCAAGAACGAAAGUUAGGGGAUCGAAGACGAUCAGAUACCGUCGUAGUCUUAACCAUAAACUAUGCCGACCAGGGAUCGGAUGAUGUUAAUUUUUAAUGACUCAUUCGGCGCCUUAAC
rnacentral:rRNA from 1 species